rnacentral:rRNA from 1 species
CCUACGGGAGGCAGCAGUAAGGAAUAUUGGUCAAUGGGCGCAAGCCUGAACCAGCCAUGCCGCGUGCAGGAAGACGGCCCUAUGGGUUGUAAACUGCUUUUGUCAGGGAAUAAACCCCCGUACGUGUACGGGGCUGAAGGUACCUGAAGAAUAAGCAUCGGCUAACUCCGUGCCAGCAGCCGCGGUAAUA